AUAUAUGUAGCCACCAUAAAGAGAUGCUGAAUAUAUCUUUUCCUUUGGUAGUGGAUCUUUCUGUUCCUCCAGAGGACAGCAAGAAUAUUUGAUGAAUACAGAGAACACUGCAGCAAUUUUCUUCUUUAGGGGAGCCUUGGGCAUUGAGUCAGCACUGAUUAUCUAUCGAGCAGACAUUUCUUGGAAAAAAGGCUGGGGUGGAGAGGAGAUGUGACAUCUAUAUAUUUUUUGCAAGCAGUAAAGCCCUCUGUACCACUACUUUCUCCUGUCUGCUAUGCAAGCUGUUCCUUUAACCUUUGUUUCCUUAGGGAUUGCUCCAGAGCAUCCCAGUAAAACUGCAGAGCUCCCAGUGUGCAGCUCUGGGGAAGCUGCUCUGCAGGAAGGUGAGCCAUGAAUCCCUGUUGCACUGAGGCAGGGGCUCGGGGAGAAGAGGGUGCUGUCUGAUCACUAUAAGCUUGCAUAGAAAAAACUUCCCUUUCCAACUGCUAGUGGCAGGUAACAUCUGCAGUGACUGGAAUUCAUUAAAUGAAAGGUCCUGGUCUCCUCAAAAUCUAUGUACUUGUUUGAGUAAGCUUUCUCAUCGGCGAAUGAUGAUUCAUUGCUUUGUGCCUUAAGCUCCACAUUGAACUCUCCUGUAAUCUUACCUCCUUCAUGUUAUUACAGAUAUAGUAGCACUACUUAUUUCUUAAGAUCAGCUCGUACUUCCUAUUUAAAAUCCUGUUUUCAUUUGUUCAGAACUCCUAUAUGUAAUUUUUUUUCAAACUAACCUUUGCUUUAGAAGCCCUGUAGUCUUCCCAUAUUUUAAAACAGGACCUUGAAAUUAAAUAAUGAUGGGCUUUAUUUCAGUUGUCUGUUACAAAGAAGCCUUUUAAAUAUGAUAAUAAAUAUUUCCAGAUUGCUUGUAGAAAUACACAAAUGUACCUGUAUGUGUAUAGAUAUACUUAUUCUCCUCUAGUGUUUAGUGCUCUGGACAGUGUACAGCAUGCAAUCCAAUUUCUGCAUGGAUUAGCAGUAGGUUUUCUAUUUCUUUUUCCCUUGGUGAUCAUGCUAAUUUUAAAAUGCAUAAAAUAUUGACAUACAUGCAAGAAAAAAACAUUCCACUGUUUAACUAUUGAAUGCCAGCUCCUGCUGCUUCCAGUUGUAGGCAGCCCCACAAUAACUCUGGCUCGUUGAUUCUUCCCAGUCCAAAAUCUAGCUGUAGUCUUAUAACAGAUCCUUGAAAGCAGCAGUGUUUAUCACCUACACAAAAUAAAUAUCUCAAUCAUUUGUCCCUUCUGCUUUUAACUCCAGCAUUAAUUUUAGUUCAGUGGUCACUGCUAGCCACAAAUGUAAAUCUAGCCAGCUGGCCUUGAUGCAAACGUGCUGUAAAUCCCAUCGUAUUCUAAUGCUAUCUUAUUUGGGAACAUGAUUUCUGGGGGUAAGUAAUAACUUCAAUGCAUUUCUGAGCUCUGCAAUUCUGGCUUCUUGGGAACUGUGCUUGUCAGAUGCAGGAAAAACUUGUUUGUUUUUUUUCCUCCUGUAUUCCAGAACCUGCUCACAUAAUUAUUGUUUCCUUUCUCAAAUCUAUUUUCAGCUCAGCUGUUUCUAGCUGCAAAUCUUGAGGAGUAUGCAGAUGUUACACAAUGAAUAAGUCAUCUUAUGUGGAGGAAGACGAGAGGAUUAAAGUAGACACUUGGAAUUAGGAAAUCUUUUUUUUGUUGAGUUCUGCAGUUUUCAUGAAGUUAUUUAUACAGACAGAACUAUCUGUCUGCCUGAACGUCAGUUUCAUCAGGCUUCAAUAUGUCACUUGAAUAGCUUUAAGGGGAUUACUCAAGUUAAUAAGGAGUGUGUGUAGCAGCAGUGCAGGUCUUCCCUUCACUGUGUGUCUCUGUCUUCCUCCCACACUUAGCGAAGUCUCUGAUCCUAGUAAACUGAUUUAGAACAUUUGGAAUUGUUGCCUAUGAAUCUUCACUGAUAGCUAAUGGGCAGAUCAUUCGUAGUGCACAAAAGGAGCAUUAAAGACCUGGCUCUUGAAAUGUAAUAGUUUAUCAAAGAAGCAGAAUUAAAGGAUAAAGAAAAGGAAAGGGGAGAAGAAGCAUCAAGGCUUUUCCAGCAAUUUAAUUUCAGUGUGUGUUUCUAUGUUUGAUUGACUAACAGCGUAAAAUAUUGUCUUAUUCUGGAGCUUUUCAUCUACAGAUCUCAAGAUGCACCAGGAAUACUAAUUGAGUAGCUUCAGAAGAAAGUUGAAUUGUCCUACCUGAGUCGUGGUUUAAGAACAUUCAAAUGAAGAAUACUUAGCUGUGUCUUUCCUGUAGUCUGUCAGUAUUUGGAAUGAUUAUGUUCAAGAUGAAACUCUUAUUUCCCCCGGCUAGUACACCAGACAUGUAAACCUGUCUUAUUAAAGGACUAAUUUACUUAACAAGGCACAAAAUUGGCUUGCCAUCCUAUGAAUAAUUGGAAUAAAUAUCUGCCAUCUGAGCCCUUGCUGCAGUCACCAGCGCAGAUUAGAUUUGCAAGGUUUGGCUGCACCGUGUUUUAAAAGGGCUCACACACAGCUCACAAGCUGCCUCCUGGCUGGGGAGUCACAGAUGGGCCUCAUCAGAAUCCCCUGAGAGCAGGAGCCCCUUUAACACCCUGACCUUCACACUUAUGGAACUGGAGGUCUGGAACUGGGACAAGAAUUUGGAAAUAACUUUUUAUUACAUGAAAUGACUUCACUGGGAGGGAAGCAGAACUAACAGCACAAAGAGUCUGUCUGCUUGUUAGACAAGACUCAUUAAUGCCCAAGGCUACCUGUAGGAUGUGGAUAUGAUGUUGUCUAUUACCUGCUGCCUUGCUCUGAGCUCAGAUUGGGAUCUGUGAACUUCAGAGGCAAAGAUGGCAGCGUGGCAGGAGUCUGUGGCAUUACUUCCCACAGAACCUGAGCACUCAUUUGAGGCUUUGGCUAAAUCUUUCAAUCUGCUGUUGUCAUACCAACAAAUAAAUACAAAGAAAGGCUCAGCACGAUUGUUUAUUUCAGAUAGGUUGCCUUCAGGUUCUACAAAUGCUGGCUUUCCACAAUGAGGCUGUUCCAACCACAGUGUUCUUCAGGACAGUUCACUUAGAAGGCACAUCAUUGGACCAGUGGUGCAACUCAGAUAAUAGGUGUGCAGAAUAAAGCUUUAUGAAAGUCUUGUAGGAGGAAGUGCACAAGAUUUCCAUUGAGAUUGUUUUACAUUGAUAAGAACUAGGAUAAAAAUGGAAAACGCUGAGGUGCUUUAGAGCUUGCAUGUCUGAGGCUUCAGUUCAGCAUUGGAAAGCAUCAAGGAUACAUUCAGGAAUGGGCAGACAAUGCAUGCUGUGGUGCCACCAAGCGUCAAUCCGCAGGAAGGCAGCAGCCCUGCCUGAUCGAAACAGGCAGCUUCCAGAUGAUCCUUUCCGGGGAAUGCAGCUCCGCAGCAGGUGGGACCAGAGCUAAAACGUCGUCUCUGAAACAGAAAGAUGAAGGCUUGAAGUUGGCAUAACAGCAUGGAUUCUUCCAAAGCCUCAACACUCACUGUAACUAUCAGGAACAGAUUUAGGAAUGUUCUCAGCUUAGAACUGUUGACUGACAGAAAUAAUGGCUCAGUAGUUAAUACACUGGGUACUGAUCCUACAGCACAGCUAAGACCAGAAGGUAGUAGCAGGUGCUUUGUUUAUGACCAAUUCCUCACAAACCAGAAAUGGAGUCUGAAAGCAAAUGUGCAAAACUGAUGAGCUAGAAGGGACCUUAUCUGUUGGCCUCUAAAACACUGGUCCUGUGGUGAUAGAUGGAGAAAAGAAAGAUGAUACUAAUAUAAGAUUGUGGCAGCCUUGAAUGAUGAGACAAUACAUCAUAUGAAUGCAUUAAUCUUAUGUAAUUUCAGAGAAGGAAACUUGCCAAAACUGACGUAAAUAGAAAUCUGGAACAUUUCUAGGUAUAUACUCUAUUUGAUUCUCAA